rnacentral:rRNA from 1 species
CCUGGUAGUCCACGCUGUAAACGAUGUCGAUUUGGAGUUUGUUGCCUAGAGUGAUGGGCUCCGAAGCUAACGCGAUAAAUCGACCGCUGGGGAGUACGGCCGCAAGGUUAAAACUCAAAUGAAUUGACGGGGGCCCGCACAAGCGGUGGAGCAUGUGGUUUAAUUCGAUGCAACGCGAAGAACCUUGCCUGGUCUUGACAUCCAUAGAAUUCUGCAGAGAUGUGGGAGUGCCUUCGGGAACUAUGAGACAGGUGCUGCAUGGCUGUCGUCAGCUCGUGUUGUGAAAUGUUGGGUUAAGUCCCGCAACGAGCGCAACCCUUAUUCUUUGUUGCCAGCGAUUUGGUCGGGAACUCAAAGGAGACUGCCGUUGAUAAAGCGGAGGAAGGUGGGGACGACGUCAAGUCAUCAUGGCCCUUACGACCAGGGCUACACACGUGCUACAAUGGCGUAUACAAAGGGAAGCGAAGGUGCGAGCUGGAGCGGAUCUCAUAAAGUACGUCUAAGUUCGGAUUGGAGUCUGCAACUCGACUCCAUGAAGUCGGAAUCGCUAGUAAUCGUAGAUCGGAAUGCUACGGUGAAUACGUUCUCGGGCCUUGUACACACCGCCCGUCACACCAUGGGAGUGGGUUGCACCAGAAGUAGAUAGCUUAACCGCGAGGGGGGCGUUUACCACGGUGUGAUUCAUGACUGGGGUGAAGUCGUAACAAGGUAACCA